rnacentral:rRNA from 1 species
UUAGACCUCAAAUCAGGUAGGAUUACCCGCUGAACUUAAGCA